rnacentral:rRNA from 1 species
UACGUAGGGUGCAAGCGUUAAUCGGAAUUACUGGGCGUAAAGCGGGCGCAGGCGGUUUUGUAAGUCUGUCGUGAAAGCCCCGGGCUCAACCUGGGAAUUGCGAUGGAGACUGCAAGGCUUGAAUCUGGCAGAGGGGGGUAGAAUUCCACGUGUAGCAGUGAAAUGCGUAGAGAUGUGGAGGAACACCGAUGGCGAAGGCAGCCCCCUGGGUCAAGAUUGACGCUAAUGCACGAAAGCGUGGGGAGCAAACAGG